rnacentral:tRNA from 2 species
GCGAAGGUGGCGGAAUUGGUAGACGCGCUAGCUUCAGGUGUUAGUGUCCUUUAAGGGUGGGGGUUCAAGUCCCCCCCCUCGCA